rnacentral:lncRNA from 1 species
UGCCCUGUUUUACCAUAGGGGAGGGAGGUUACUGAGGCAAUAUGGGAAACGAGGAAUAAGUUACCAGGGGCCUGUGGAAACUAGUGGCACCAAAGUGGACAGACUGAGACCGCAGAUCAGACUGGCAUCAAGAUAACAGCUGGGAAGUGACUGUGGGUUAAAUAUUCAUGGAUAACUUCCAGGCACUGGCUUACGCAGCUGUAAAAGAGACAUGUGCUGCCUCUCUCCAGGUAUCCAGAAAAGGCCCUCGUUCCUAAGACAACAAUUCAAGGUCAAGAGAACAAAAAAGAAAUUGAAAAAGCCACAAAACCAUAAAAUACCUAGGAUUAAAUCUCACAAGACCUCUGUGAAGAUGACUACAAAACUUUACCGAAGAACGUAAAAGAAGACUUGAAUACCUCAUGCCUGGAUGGAAUAAAGAAUAUCAUAAAGAAGAGAAUCAUCCCCAAAGUAAUCUAUAUAUCCAAUGCAAUUCCAACCCUGAUUAAACAGGAUUGUUUAAUGACAUUUGUCAAGCUGGUUGUAAGAUUCAUCUUGAA